AGAGUUUGAUCCUGGCUCAGAUUGAACGCUGGCGGCAGGCCUAACACAUGCAAGUCGAACGGUAGCACAGAGAGCUUGCUCUCGGGUGACGAGUGGCGGACGGGUGAGUAAUGUCUGGGAAACUGCCUGAUGGAGGGGGAUAACUACUGGAAACGGUAGCUAAUACCGCAUAACGUCGCAAGACCAAAGAGGGGGACCUUCGGGCCUCUUGCCAUCAGAUGUGCCCAGAUGGGAUUAGCUAGUAGGUGGGGUAACGGCUCACCUAGGCGACGAUCCCUAGCUGGUUUGAGAGGAUGACCAGCCACACUGGAACUGAGACACGGUCCAGACUCCUACGGGAGGCAGCAGUGGGGAAUAUUGCACAAUGGGCGCAAGCCUGAUGCAGCCAUGCCGCGUGUAUGAAGAAGGCCUUCGGGUUGUAAAGUACUUUCAG
rnacentral:rRNA from 1 species